rnacentral:siRNA from 1 species
UGCAAACGAAGGGUAGUUAAGGUC